GAUGAACGCUGGCGGCGUGCCUAAUACAUGCAAGUCGAGCGAACGGACGAGAAUCUUGCUUCUCUGAUGUUAGCGGCGGACGGGUGAGUAACACGUGGAUAACCUACCUAUAAGACUGGGAUAACUUCGGGAAACCGGAGCUAAUACCGGAUAAUAUUUUGAACCGCAUGGUUCAAAAGUUAAAUACGGUCUUGCUGUCACUUAUACAUGGCUCCGCGCUGCAUUAGCUAGUUGGUAAGGUAACGGCUUACCAAGGCAACGAUGCAUAGCCGACCUGAGAGGGUGAACGGGGACACUGGAACUGAGCCACGGUCCAGACACCUACGGGAGGCAGAAGUAGGGAAUCUUCCGCAAUGGGCGAAAGACUGAAGGAGCAACGCAGGGCGAGUGAUGAAGGUCUUCGGAUCGUAAAACUCUGUUAUUAGGGAAGAACAUAUGUGUAAGUAACUGUGCACAUCGUGACGGUACCUAAUCAGAAAGCCACGGCUAACUACGUG
rnacentral:rRNA from 1 species